CCUACGGGAGGCAGCAGUGGGGAAUAUUGGACAAUGGGCGAAAGCCUGAUCCAGCCAUGCCGCGUGUGUGAAGAAGGCCUUCGGGUUGUAAAGCACUUUCAGUGGGGAAGAAAGCCUUGGGGCUAAUACCCUCGAGGAAGGACAUCACCCACAGAAGAAGCACCGGCUAACUCCGUGCCAGCAGCCGCGGUAAUACGGAGGGUGCGAGCGUUAAUCGGAAUUACUGGGCGUAAAGCGCGCGUAGGCGGUCUGAUAAGCCGGUUGUGAAAGCCCCGGGCUCAACCUGGGAACGGCAUCCGGACCUGUCAGGCUAGAGUGCAGGAGAGGAAGGUAGAAUUCCCGGUGUAGCGGUGAAAUGCGUAGAGAUCGGGAGGAAUACCAGUGGCGAAGGCGGCCUUCUGGACUGACACUGACGCUGAGGUGCGAAAGCGUGGGUAGCAAACAGGAUUAGAUACCCUUGUAGUC
rnacentral:rRNA from 1 species